GGAGCUUUUGUUGUCCAGUACAGCUCAGAUAGAGGAUAGAACGACAUUGUACAAAGCAUCUUCCAAUGACAACAGUUCCCGCACGAUCUUCUAUGCACGAAGCUCUGCAUUAGGCUAUAAUUGGACAAAGUAUUGACAUGCGAAUCACAGAGCAGUGAGUUGGCUAAUGGCUUCCUGUCUGUGUUUCCUCUCUGCAUGGAGGGAAUCGUGCAAAACCACACCGGCCCAUGGCUGUCUUCACUAUGUUAUUGCAUGGCACGCAAUGCAAUCUAAUCUGCUGCUGCAGGCCUACUAACCUGCCUGCUAAAUAAUAAACACCACUGGACAGCAGCCUGCAAGGCCACGUAUAAUCCAGUCUUUUAACAGCUUUGUCAUUGAUGCUACUGCACCACAUGGUCUCAAAUGCCUCCAUUUUCCUGGAAGAGUAAGACGGAUUGCUGUGAGAGACAGAGACAGAGACAGGCGAAGACAAAGGGAGAAAGAAGGACGGAGAGUCAAAAUAAAUCAAAUCAGUCACUUGACUGACAGCUUGUAGCAACACUCACUGUAAGAUGACAGCUUGAAGAGGAGAUGACAGGUGUGCAAUCAUGACUGCAAAGCCAAAGGUGCCCUGACACACAAAACAAGACAUAAAGGCUAUGAGACAAACAAGAAG
ensembl:lncRNA